CCGGGUUUGGGGCCAGGCUGUGGCCUGGGAGUGAAGCCCGGGCCCUGGGGGAAGCUGGGCUGUGGGUGCAGGGCCAGCCCUUGGGUGCUGCGAGUCCUGGUGCCCCAGCGGCCUCUCCUCUCCUCCCCCCAAGUGCUGGUGGCCGAGGUGGUGAAGUUCUUCUUCCCUGCCAUGGUGCAGCUGCACAGCUUCGUGCCCGCCAGCUCCACGCCGCAGAAGUUGGCCAACUGGGGCCACCUCAACAGGUACCGGAUGGACAGCACUGCCGGAGCGGAGCUGGGCAGCAGCGGGCGGUGGGCAGCGGGAAGCCUGCCUCUGUGCCCUCUGGGAUGCAGAUCUGGAUCAUUUUCUAGGAAGGUUUUGAGCAAGCUGAACUUCUCCGUCCCCAGCGAGGUGAUCCGGCAGAUCGUGCAGUGCCGGCCAGGUGUGGUAGAGCAGGUGCUGCUGCUGCUGCGGCAGAAGAUCGAGGAGAAGCAGAAGCAGGUCAAGGCAGUGCCUGGCCCGGGGCAGGUCAGCAGGGCAGAGCUGGGGCAGGAUCCUGUGGGGAGCGGGGCUGGCAAGACUCAGCGCUGCAGAUGGCAGCCAAGCGUUGCUAUGGGAACUAUCAUGUCCCCGUUCACUCUGCAGCCAUGAACUGGCCUGGGCAGGCCUGAAGGCAAUGCCGUUAGCUGGGGUGGGGGAGGGCAAAGGGGUGCUGACUCCAUCAUUUUCCUUACUGUGAUACUCCUCAAGGGGAGCGGAAAAGGCAGCUGGGUUGGGUGCACAGCUCCAGGACAGCCUCCUCCCCUGCCCCAACCAAACCCUCAGCCCAAGAGGAUCCCGGUCCCUGCAGUGUGAGAUGAGGACACCGACCACGCAGGCUUGGAGCAGGCUGGGCUGUCUGCCCCAGCACUGGGGUCAGAGCAGGAAUUCACCACGGGGAGGGCUGUGGCCGUGCAGGAAUUCAGGCAGAUUGAUCCCAGCCCUGCCUCUGGGCGGUAACCAGCACCGUGCUGCGCUGGGAACCCCCUGCUCUGAGCCACCACCGUGGGAACAAAGCUCCCACACCCCACUGGCUCCCCGCUCUGCUCCAGGAGGGCUGCGCUCCCCUGUUCUCCCUCCUCCAGCAUCAGGGCUGCCUCCCUGCACAGGGGCUGCUUGCAGGUUCACCCAGGGAGCGAGGAGCCAGGCGCGAUGCGAGUUCUCCUCUCUGCAGGAGCUGGGCCUGCAGGCAGCACAGGAGAUCAGCUACCUGGAGACGGGCAAGGCCGGCUGCUGGAAGGCGAGGAGCACAGGAGGGGGCUGCGCGCAGGAGGCCCCCACGGCGGUUGGGGGGAACGAGAGCCACCAGCGCUGUGCCCCGGCCGCAGGGGGUGACGCUGCUGCCAUCCGCCUGCAGCUGGCAGAGAGGGAGCAGGCGCUGCUCCUGGCGCAGGAGACGAUCCAGAUCCUACAGAUGAAGGUGCGAAGGCUGGAGCAGCUGCUGCGCCUCAAGGACAUGAGGAUCGACGACCUGAGCCGCUGCCUGCAGCAAGCCCGGCCCCAGCAGCAGUGAGCGCAGGCUUGCUCAGCCACCAUCCUGACGUGGAGCUGCGUGUUCGGCGCCUCCCGGCCGCCCCGCUCCGUGUCAGCCCCGCCGUGAGGAGCACAGGGCGGCACGGGGCCCUGCAGGAGCUGCUCCGUAAUCCCCUCCCCAAGCUGUUGUUUAUGAGCUCGGAGGAAAUCCCAGCCCGCGUGCCGUGGCUCUGGCGGCGAAACACGCGGCCCUGUGUGCUGAACAGCCUUUACCCCGCCUGGUGUCACCGUGUGGGGGCUGUGGAGGCAGCGGGGCCUUUCUUUUCAUCUCCUUUCCUUUUAUUUUCUUUGGGGGCAAAGCACGGAGGCGUUCUGCACGUCGCUGCGUGCAUUGCAGCCCCCGCGGCCUCCCUGCAGCGCUCGGGGCUGGAGCCUCACGGCCUCGUGCCCCCCUCCACGCCUCUCCAUCUCCUCCGUGCCCCUCCGUGCCUCCUGUGCCCCCCAUCCCCUCCGUGCCCCUCUGUCCACUCCGUGCUCCUCCAUCCCCUCCAUGCCCUUCAUGCCCCUUUUUCCCCUCCAUGCUCCUCUGUGCCCCUCAUGCCCUCUGUGCCUUCCAUGCCCCCCAUGC
rnacentral:lncRNA from 1 species